CCUACGGGUGGCAGCAGUGGGGAAUAUUGGACAAUGUGCGAAAGCCUGAUCCAGCCAUGCCGCGUGUGUGAAGAAGGCCUUCGGGUUGUAAAGCACUUUCAGUGGGGAAGAAAGCCUUGGGGCUAAUACCCUCGAGGAAGGACAUCACCCACAGAAGAAGCACCGGCUAACUCCGUGCCAGCAGCCGCGGUAAUACGGAGGGUGCGAGCGUUAAUCGGAAUUACUGGGCGUAAAGCGCGCGUAGGCGGUCUGAUAAGCCGGUUGUGAAAGCCCCGGGCUCAACCUGGGAACGGCAUCCGGAACUGUCAGGCUAGAGUGCAGGAGAGGAAGGUAGAAUUCCCGGUGUAGCGGUGAAAUGCGUAGAGAUCGGGAGGAAUACCAGUGGCGAAGGCGGCCUUCUGGACUGACACUGACGCUGAGGUGCGAAAGCGUGGGUAGCAAACAGGAUUAGAUACCCUGGUAGUC
rnacentral:rRNA from 1 species